rnacentral:rRNA from 1 species
CGGACGGGUGAGUAACGCGUGAGAAUCUGGCUUCAGGUCUGGGACAACCACUGGAAACGGUGGCUAAUACCGGAUGUGCCGAGAGGUGAAAGGUUAACUGCCUGAAGAUGAGCUCGCGUCUGAUUAGCUAGUUGGAAGUGUAAUGGACUCCCAAGGCGACGAUCAGUAGCUGGUCUGAGAGGACGAUCAGCCACACUGGGACUGAGACACGGCCCAGACUCCUACGGGAGGCAGCAGUGGGGAAUUUUCCGCAAUGGGCGAAAGCCUGACGGAGCAAUACCGCGUGAGGGAGGAAGGCUCUUGGGUCGUAAACCUCUUUUCUCAGGGAAGAACAAAAUGACGGUACCUGAGGAAUAAGCAUCGGCUAACUCCGUGCCAGCAGCCGCGGUAAUACGGAGGAUGCAAGCGUUAUCCGGAAUGAUUGGGCGUAAAGCGUCCGCAGGUGGCUGUGUAAGUCUGCUGUUAAAUAGUGAGGCUCAACCUCAUAAAGGCAGUGGAAACUACACGGCUAGAGUGCGUUCGGGGCAGAGGGAAUUCCUGGUGUAGCGGUGAAAUGCGUAGAGAUCAGGAAGAACACCGGUGGCGAAAGCGCUCUGCUAGGCCGCAACUGACACUGAGGGACGAAAGCUAGGGGAGCGAAUGGGAUUAGAUACCCCAGUAGUC